GAAGCUGACUGCAGCUGCCCCCUGUAGCCAGGGCAUGUGUGGGGAUCGCUCUGACAACUGUCCCCCACUCCCGCAGUGCCCAGUGCCCGACACCCUGGGGAGUCACUGCCACCCCGGAGGGGCCACCAAUUCAACAUGUGACAACCCGAAGUGGAGGGAAGCAGAGGAGGAAGAGACGGAGGGGGACACACAGAUGGAAACUGAGCCCAAGAACCAAGAGUGAGCCUGAGGACCACAGCGAGGGACAGCGGGAGAGGGAGGCAGCAGGCAGACGGAGGCGAGGAGAGAUUCCCUGGGCAUCUUACGUCACUCUCCGGCCCCUGAGCAGCUGUCUCGUUUAGGGAAAAGGAUGCAGGGGUCCCCACAGGCGAGAGGCUGAACUCAGAGCUGGCCAGGUGAGAAGCGAAGCACCGAACCACUGAAAUCUCCAGGAGACCACACUGGGUGGCAGAUGUGACAGCAACCCUCUGACCUCACGGGGCGCUGCUGUCCCAGCACAACCGGAACAAGGUGUGCCGAUGCCGGGAGCAGUGCAAACGGCCCUGGACGGGGAUGCAGAGGGCUCCAGAUCAGCCUGGGGCUCGCUGUGGGGCCCUGCUGUCAUCCCCUGGAAAUGGGUACACCCCCGGCAUAUUGAGGGGGAGGCACGCA
rnacentral:lncRNA from 1 species